GUGGGUGAUUAAAUUUGGAAAUCCUAUUGGCAUGCCAUUAUUGAAGGUACCUAAAAGAACAAAAUAACCAAUUAUCCAUGAAAGGGCAAUUUUUGCAUCUAUAACUCAGAAAGGUUAAUCAAAGAGGGCUUUGACUAUGAUAAUAUUUCAAAUGAAAAGGAAAAGGAAAAAUCCUGGUAACCAUGUAGCAGAAGUCCUUAACCUAGGAAGCUAAGUGAGCUGCACAUUCAGUAGCAAAAUCAAUUGAGUUAUGGGACUGGAAGGGCACCAUUCGUUCUUUGGGGGGAAAUGGCUCUUAUUUUUGAUAUCUGUCACCAUUUCUGGUUAGUCGGGAUGGAAAGAAACAGAAGGGUUUCAAUAAAGAGGAAUACAGUACUACACUGUUAGAGAUUGGGGGCCUAGGACCAUCAGACUUGGAAUUGUAGGUGUUAAAUUUGGGCCAGGCCUAACUCACUCCAAAAGCUAGCUCAAGGGGGAGGAGUGCCUAUGGCCCAUAUAAGGGGCACAUUACCCCUUUCCACAACCGAUGUGGGAUUCAACACACCCCCUCACGCUCAGAAUUUUUACUGGUGCGUGGCACAUUUAUAGGGCGCCCAACAUCGGAUGGGGAGGCUCUGAUACCAUGUUAAAUUUAAGUCAGGCCUAACUCACCCCAAAAGCUAGCUCAAGGGGGAGGAUUGCCUAUGACUCAUAUAAGGGGCACAUUACCCCUUUCCACAACCGAUGUGGGAUUCAACGCACCACCUCACGCCCAGAAUUUUUUACUGGUGCGUGGCACAUUUAUGGGGCGCCCAACAUCGGAUGGGAGGCUCUGAUACCAUGUUAAAUUUGGGCCAGGCCUAACUCACUCCAAAAGCUAGC
rnacentral:lncRNA from 1 species